rnacentral:sRNA from 1 species
AGCAGCCGCGGUAAUUCCAGCUCCAAUAGCGUAUAUUAAAGUUGUUGCAGUUAAAAAGCUCGUAGUUGAAUUUCGGGGUUAGUAGGUUGGUCAUGCCUCUGGUAUGUACUGGUCUCACUGAUUCCUCCUUCCUGAUGAACCGUAAUGCCAUUAAUUUGGUGUUGCGGGGAAUUUGGACUGUUACUUUGAAAAAAUUAGAGUGUUUAAAGCAAGCUAACGCUUGAAUACAUUAGCAUGGAAUAAUGAAAUAGGACGUUCGAUCCUAUUUUGUUGGUUUCUAGGAUUGACGUAAUGAUUAAUAGGGAUAGUUGGGGGCAUUAGUAUUCAAUUGUCAGAGGUGAAAUUCUUGGAUUUAUUGAAGACUAACUACUGCGAAAGCAUUUGCCAAGGAUGUUUUCAUUAAUCAAGAACGAAAGUUAGGGGAUCGAAGACGAUCAGAUACCGUCGUAGUCUUAACCAUAAACUAUGCCGACUAGGGAUCGGAUGAUGUUAAUUUUUUAAUGUACUCAUUCGGCG